rnacentral:rRNA from 1 species
CCCUUAGAUGUUCUGGGCUGCACGCGCGCUACACUGAUGCAUGCAACGAGUUUUCGACCUUGCCUGAAAAGGUUGGGUAAUCUGUUUAACAUGUGUCGUGAUGGGGAUAGACCAUUGCAAUUAUUGAUCUUCAACGAGGAAUUCCUAGUAAGCGCGAGUCAUCAGCUCGUGCUGAUUAUGUCCCUGCCCUUUGUACACAUCGCCCGUCGCUCCUACCGAUUGAGUGAUCCGGUGAAUGAUUCGGAACAGCGUGCUGCUCAGAUCCUGCGCAGUGUGCUGGGAAGUCUAGUGAACCUUAUCACUUAGAGGAAGGAGAAGUCGUAACA